rnacentral:tRNA from 1 species
GUAGGUAUAGCUCAGUGGUAGGGCACAUGCUUAGCAUGCACAAGAUCCUGGGUUCAAACACCAGUCCCUCCA